rnacentral:rRNA from 1 species
AACGAACGCUGGCGGCAUGCCUAACACAUGCAAGUCGAACGAGACCUUCGGGUCUAGUGGCGCACGGGUGCGUAACGCGUGGGAACCUGCCCUUAGGUUCGGAAUAACUCCCCGAAAGGGGUGCUAAUACCGGAUAAUGUCUUCGGACCAAAGAUUUCUCGCCUUUGGAUGGGCCCGCGUUGGAUUAGCUAGUUGGUAGGGUAAAAGCCUACCAAGGCGACGAUCCAUGGCUGGUCUGAGAGGAUGAUCAGCCACACUGGGACUGAGACACGGCCCAGACUCCUACGGGAGGCAGCAGUGGGGAAUAUUGGACAAUGGGCGAAAGCCUGAUCCAGCAAUGCCGCGUGAGUGAUGAAGGCCUUAGGGUUGUAAAGCUCUUUUACCCGGGAUGAUAAUGACAGUACCGGGAGAAUAAGCUCCGGCUAACUCCGUG